AAAAAAAAAAAAAAAAAAAAAAAAAAAAAAAACACAAGACUACAGUCAUUUUUAGGGCACUUGGACAUUUUUGGUGUAAUUUUCCUCCUUUUGCACCCACAUAUUUCCCCUCCCAAGUUGAUUCUAGAACCUUUAGCAGCCAGCUCUUCCCUUUAGCAAAACCCUCUGCUGCAAUCAUUUUAACUACGGAGGAAUUGACAUUUAGACAUAAAUAUCUACUAAGACUUAAUGAUUCCAAAGACUUGUUUUAUUUAUUAAGCUGGGGAUGAGAAACAGAAGCUCAUGUGUUUUCAGGUCCACCCAGAAAUAAGCUCUAGUAAAAGAGAGGAAAGAAUUCCUUGUGUGUGCCUUGGGUGCUUAUUAAGUUAGGGAAGAGGGCCAGUGGGUAAGAUGGCCAUCACUUCCGUAUCCUUUUCCAGACUCAUGUAGCAACUGUAAGGAGGUGAGAAGACUUGUAGGCUUGAUGAAUUCCUCAGUGGAAAAGCCCCAGUACACAGUGGGCAGGUAAAAUGCCUGCCCCUCGUGAAUAAGGCUCUGAGUUCUGUGCCCAGUGCUGCAUAAAAGCUCCAUUUAAAAUUAACUAGUGUUUUAGACAGCAUAGACCCUCAUGCUGCAGAAGGCAUGCCGGAAGGCCCACCAGCUGAGUUCUCCACCACGAAGAGCCUGGAGGCCAUGGGUUUAAGUCCUUUGCUACUAAAAGAACACUACAAUGAGCAACCCAACCAUGAGUGCCUCUGUGAACACCAGUGGUGUUUUGAAGAACUGGUCCUACAGGCGUCAUUGCUGGAUGCACACUGCACGGGCACGCUGCAGAUGCGUCACAUCAUUCAGGAACAGCACGCAGGAACUGAUUCUCAACAGCCUCUGACAGGCAUGUGGCUGAGAAACACCUGGAGAGAGAAAAUAAAAUCAUUGACUGACUGCUCUGGGGAACAACUGGGCUUUCUCAUUUCCUUCUGGGCUGUGGUGUCAGCUGAGGACACUGUCCUGUAUGGAACAAAGGUGGCAAUGUUUGCAUUAUGGGGUUCCCCAGGAAUCAGGGAAGCUGGGGAUGGAAAAGAAGCAGGAGGCACGACAUUUGGGGCUAUACUAAAAUGAUCCAAGGUCCCAAAUUCACCAUCUCGGGUACUUAAAAUUUCACAGCAGUUUGAAGAAAAUGACUACCUCAUUUUCCUUCUCUCACACAAGUAAUUCAAAAACAAACAAACAAACAAACAAAAACACCAAUUUGGGAAGCUGAGAAAGGUGGAGCCCCAGAGCCCCGCCCCUUAGAAAUAUGAAGGAACCGCAGGCUCCUGAAUGGCCACUAGGUGGCACUAGUACGGAGCUGAUUCAGAGGUCAGAGCUCUACAUUCAUUCUUUCAAAAAACCAUCUCUUUUUAUCAACCUAGGGCAGCGACACUGAGGUAAACUGGAAGCUCGAGCUUGAAUCCGGCUGCACUUAUAAUCCCAUGGCGAGCCUUUUAUGUGAUUGCAGCGUUUAUCAUUAAUAGCGCAUUUGCUUCUGCAUCGGGGGCCUGAAUUAGCAGAGGUUUAAUAAUGGAAAGCAGCCUAAUGUUUACACUAAGCUAAGCAAGGUCACCCGGGUAUUCAGAGAAAUGACCUGAGCAGUCUCCCAGCAGGAUUAAUGUAAAUGAAGCCUUUCGUUGAUUAGCUUUGUUCCGCUGCCCUGCGCUUUCGAAAUGACAGGUUUCAGAGGAUCACAGUUUAAUUACAUAAUCAUACAAAAUAAUAUUUAAUAAAGCACAGAGCAAGCAAACACACUGGCAACAUUUCCUGGCUAUUACCAGCGACUGGAGGCAGCUUGAUACCGGCUUAAUUCUUCACUCUUGCAGAGCCCGGGUUAGAGAAGGAUCUGGAGAACAAUCGACAGGAUGGUAAUGGUUGAGCAGUAUGUGGCAUCCGAGUACUGUUCACAGUGCAUAGGGAGUGUGCAAUACAAAAAUAAUAAACAAUAAUAAAAAAAAAAACCUUCCCUGCUCACCAGUGACAGAGUUUCAAAUCAAUAAUUUAAAUGGGUUUUGCACUGCUCCUGUGCCGACUUCAUUACCAGGGUUUGAUUCCUUUGAAAUCAUUUCCCAUCCACCACUCCUUUUCACCUUGCAGGUCUUAGAACAGAGCUACCUAGGAGAGAUUCUGUGUGGGGUCGGGGGAGGGGAUGUUUAAACCGCAGAUUUAGGAUAAAUGCAGGCCUCUGCAUCCUGAGCUGGCCUUGUCCACGUGACUCAAUUUCAGGCGCCUUGUCACAUUCCUCAAAACAAACUCUGUGCUAGGGUAGAGAUGGCUUCAUUACCUCCAUCCUGGGGAAACUGGAUUGGUCUGGUUUCAAGUGGGGGGGGGGAACGGAAGGACAGGGUGUUGUUCUUUUAAGUUUAAAAAUUAAAAAGGCGCGAGAUGGAACCGGCGCGAUGGAACACGAACCAUGGAGAGUACAUUAAACAUAGAGUUUAUUCUAGGGCGUGAGAGAGAGAGACAGAGGGUAGGAGAGAGACAGGAAGGUAAGAGAGAGCACGAGAGUAAGAGAGCGUAAGAGGGCGGGGUCUGUCUUUUAAAGGGUCCUUUAUACCUGCUGCAACUAGUACCCGUGGAACCCUGGGCUGACUGGUGCUGGUAUUGCCUGAGUGCAUUCUGCCAGAUAACCGGGGUAAGCCAGUGUAAUGCCUGAACCUUCCACAGGGUGUGGUUUUGAAGUACAGAAAACCUCUCUCUAGAUAUCCAAGAGGUCAGAAUGGAUCUUGAGUUCCUGCUUAAAUUCACAGGCAGAAAUUCAGGUGAGAGCAGGUUUCUCUGGAAUGGAUGGAGUUCAGCACAAGGAAAAGCUACAUGGGUCUGUUAUUGUUGUAUAAUGAUUUAUCAGUUCUUUGCUCCAGGUUUCCGGAAGCAUCUAAAACACUUGUAAUUUCCUGGUGCUAGGAGCACCUGACCUCACUUCAGCUUAGGAUAAUGAGCAGGCUCUGGAUAGCAGCUAGUUCCCUAUCAUGAGCCUGAGCCCAGAACAGGUGGGGAGUUGCAUAAUGAAAGUUCAAUAAAAGGCCGGAGGAGGGGCAGGGUGCAGGAGCUCAUUGGGCUUAUUGGUUGGUGAACGCAUCCAUGCAAAGAGGACUAGAAACUAGUCACUAGAAAACACCUUUCUGGAUACUUCCAGACUCUUGCCCUAUGUCUCUUCCUUUGGUUGGUCCUGAUUUUUAUCCUUUACAAUAAAAUUGUAAGUGAAAAACUUC